AGGUGACAGAGCUAGAUAUUUAUGUGGUGGGGGAGUCAGAAAUAAAUCAUUUUUACCCGUCUAUAACGUCCAUCCAGUUAUUGCAUAUUCUAUAUGGAUCAGAGACUAGGUAGAAUUACACCAUCAUGGCGGAUGAAUUUGCAUUUUGCUGAUGUAAAACAAUUUGACAUCAAAAAUAUAUCACAAAAUAUAGUUUUUUUCCAACAUUGUAUAUCAAAACAAUGUCAGAAGAAGAUGGGCCAUCUUCAAGUGGUAUUGGCAGCGAAAAGACGUUUUAUCAUCGCCGUAAUUUUGUCAGAAGUUAUGGAAUCUCGAUCGAUUCCAGCAAAAUUCACGAGGUUGCCUUCGAAGAGCAACCUGAGAAUUUGCGAGCGCUCGGAGUGAAUAUUUUUGAUCAAUCUGUAUUCGAGGAGGGCGUUUUACAACAAGUUGAUGAAGCUAUUGCUGUGCAGGAGGAAAUUUUUGAAAAAGAGAAGUUGAGAAAGAAGUUAAAGUCGGUUGAAGAUGAACUCAGAAAUGUUAAGCAAAAGCUCCAAAGACCAGGAAUAAAACAGCAUACAAAAGAAUCAAUGCUGAUUGAUGUUCAAAGACUUACACAAGAGGAAAAUGACAUUCUACAGAGCUUGCAGAAGUUUGAAAAAGGAAAAGAUUCAUGUCUGGGAGAUGAGGGUAUCAGCAUUCAAAAUGAACAAUCUGGGCAAAUUUCAAUUGACAGAGUUCUUCAUUCUGAAGCUCGUAAAGAAACAGAAGUUGAAAGACUUGUACGUUUGGGUGUGAUGACACCAUUUGGUAGCACAGUUGAAAAAUAUGACAGUGAUGCUGAGACAUUCAAUUCUAGCAGGAGUGAUGGUACCAAGUGUGGUGACAAUGCUGGUACCUCGGAUGAUGCUGGUAGAAUGAAACUAGAUGGAACUAAGAGCAAUCUUAAACAGAUUGAUACCAAUGAAGAUGAGGCCCUUCUUUCGUCAGACCCUGACAUUGAAAUCAAUGAACCCACAGUUGACAGUGACGAAGAAUAUAUCCCUAAUGAGGACGAUUUAAAGCUUAGUUUUCAAGAUGAUGAACAUGUCUUGCCCGAAGAUGACCUGGAAGAACCAAUUGGGGAGGCUUCCAUGGCAACCAAUAAAGUGCAAAUUCCUCAGAACAAAGCUGGUAAAAAGAGUAAAAGAAUGACGCAGUCUGUGAAGGAUGAUGGUGAUGAUAGGGCAUACAAGAUCAGAAUUAGGGAGUUCAAAUUUAAGAAAUCAUUGCGAGAGAAAGGCAUUGAUUAUGAAGGUCGAGAUGAGGAGGAAAACAGCUUCUGGGAUGAAGAGGGACCAGAUGAAGAAUUUGAUGGUGGCUUAAAGAUUCCUUCUGUUAUCUGGAACAAACUAUUCAGCUACCAAAAGACUGGGGUGAAGUGGUUAUGGGAGCUGCACACGCAACAAGCUGGAGGAAUAGUUGGAGAUGAAAUGGGUCUGGGAAAGACAAUUCAGAUUAUUGCAUUCCUAGCUGGGCUAAAGUACAGUAAUAUUGGCAGACGGGGUUCAAAGCAGAAUGGUUUUGGACCAGUUCUCAUAAUAUGUCCAGCAACAAUUCUGUUUCAAUGGGUGGCUGAAUUGCACAAGUGGUGGCCAGAGUUUCGUGUUGCAGUUUUGCAUGACACUGGUUCAUACAAGGGACCCAAGGACACCCUGAUAACCAGAAUCCGCAACGAACCAGGGAUUCUGCUGACCACAUACUCUGGUGUGAGAAUAAACCAAGAUCAUCUGUUGCAGUCCCGUUGGGAUUACAUCAUUUUAGAUGAAGGUCAUACCAUACGUAACCCAGAUGCUGAGGUCACGUUAACUUGCAAACAGUUUCGCACUCCGCAUCGUCUAGUGUUGUCAGGAUCACCAAUGCAGAACAACCUUCGUGAACUCUGGUCCCUCUUCGAUUUUGUUUAUCCUGGCAAGCUGGGAACGUUACCUGUGUUCAUGCAAGAGUUCUCAGUGCCAAUCACCAUGGGAGGAUAUUCAAAUGCCACACCGGUUCAGGUACAGACAGCGUUCAAAUGUGCGUGUGUUUUGAGGGACACAAUCAAUCCGUAUUUAUUGAGAAGAUUGAAGAAGGAUGUUAAAAAGAAAUUGGAUUUACCAAACAAAAACGAACAGGUACUGUUUUGUCGCCUUACUGAGGAACAGAUAGAAUUGUACAAAGAAUAUUUGGCUUCACGUGAUGUGGGAUCUAUUUUGUCCGGAAAUAUGAAGGUUUUCCCUGGUCUGAUAAUGUUGCGGAAGAUUUGCAAUCAUCCUGACCUAACCACCCCGGCCGGCUCUUUGUUGAAACUACGAAAAGACGAAGCGCAGCAGGAAAAUACGGAUAAGUGUCGCGAGAAAAAUGACAGCGAAUACGGGCAUUGGAAGCGAGCCGGCAAACUCAUUGUUGUUCAUUCCUUACUCAAGCUGUGGAAAAAACAAAAGCAUAAAGUAUUGCUUUUCACACAAACACGGCAGAUGUUGAAAAUUCUUGAAAUAUUUGUCAAAUCUCAAGGCUAUAAUUUUUGCAGAAUGGAUGGAUCAACUUCAAUCUCAUCUCGGCAGCCGUUGAUAGAGAAAUUUAAUAAGGAUUCGUCUAUUUUUGUGUUCCUCCUGACAACCCGUGUUGGUGGCCUGGGCGUGAACUUGAUCGGUGCGAAUCGCGUGAUCAUAUACGACCCAGACUGGAAUCCUGGUACCGACAUGCAAGCGCGGGAACGCGCGUGGCGAGUGGGACAGAGAAAGGAUGUCACGAUUUAUCGGUUGUUGACCACUGGCACUAUUGAGGAGAAGAUUUACCACAGACAAAUAUUCAAGCAGUUUUUGACAAAUCGUGUUUUAAAAGAUCCCAAACAACGACGUUUCUUCAAAUCAAAUGAUCUGUUUGAGCUGUUCACGUUGGACACGUCAGACAACUCGAAGUCUGGAACUGAAACCGGCGCCAUAUUUGCAGGUCUCGGCUGUGAGGUCGCUGUUCCCGCCAAAAAGAAAGGAACAAAGCGGAAGCACAGCGUAGGCGAUAAAAAUGUUUUAAAAGCUAUACAAGAACGGACGAAGGAAAUACUUCUGACCCAGUUCGCGUCUUCGAAGGAGAGCUGUGUUCAAGAGAGGAACGAAAUGGCGGACACUGAAAAAGAAGGGGAAAAUGUUCAAAGAAAUCUGAAUGAGCAAAGUUGUGAUGGAGUGAAAUUCGAGAGCAAAAUAAACAAUGAGAAAUUGAUCGAGACAUCGGAAGAGCGGGAAAGUUUCGGGGAUGCAUCGGAAUGCACUCGUUUACCUACGACGAACAAUCCGUCGAUCACCGGUGAAAGUUCGGAAAAAGCUACUGGCGGGAAAAUGUCGUCGAGCGAGAACGCUAAGGUUGAUGACGUUGAGAAGACUGGGUCUAGGGAAAGUUCUUUAAAUGAUAAAAUGACGAAAUCAUCACGAAAGAAAAGCAAGAAAAGGAAAAGAAAUAAAGUGGAAGGGAUGCAUAUUGGUCAACUGAGUCAUUCCGAACCAUACCGUCCAAGGCAAGGGCCUGAAGACGUUCCCGAUAAAAAUGCUGAUGAUGAUUACAUUUUAAGAAAGUUAUUCAAAAAAUCAGGUGUUCACAGUGCACUUCAACAUGACACCAUUGUGAAUUCGGGCAAUGCAGAUCAUGUUUUGGUGGAAAACGAGGCUAAACGAGUGGCCGCUCAGGCAGCUGAGGCUGUGAAACGUUCACGUGACCAUUGCCUGCAACUCAGAAACACUGGUCUACCUACAUGGACUGGACAGUCAGGUGUUGUUGGUUCGCCAUAUGGAAUGCAGGAAAGAACCUUGUUUGGUCCAAAGGCGAAGAAAGUUGAAAAGAAGGAAAAUUCUACAACCUUAUUCACUGGCAAGUCUUUAUUGCAAAACGAAAAGGAGAGUGAUUUGACAAAACCAGGUCUCGGGAGCCCUAUGUCCUCAACGCAAUUACUAGCCCGCAUGAGAGCACGCAAUUCUAUUGGUGGAACAAACGCCGGAAGUGACGUACAAUCUAGCGAACAAAAAUUAUGUUGUGAACUAAGUUUUGAAAACAAAACACCAAACACAGGAGUUACUACAAAAUAUAAUGCGGCUAUCAACAAUGUGUUUCCAAAAAUGUGUUAACAUUGUAAAAUGGGCUUAAACUAUUCACUAAGACUACUCUUUUUAGUUUUUGAGCAUAUUUGGUUUGUUUUUGGAAGAUUGAAAAAAUCAUCAUUUUUGGCAUGGUAAGGGCAUCCUUACCAUUUUAGCCAAAAUUGACGAAUUUUAAAAGUUUUCCAAAAAUGUGUUAACGUUGUGAAAAUGGCUUCAAAUAUUUGCUAAGACUAAUCUCUUUGGUUUUUGAGCAUAUUUGGUUUGUUUUUGGAACGUUGAAAAACCAUCAUUUUUCUUUUGGCAAGGUGCAAUCUUGUUUUUAACAUUUGUGGUACGAAUAUAUCAAAUACUAUAAGCUCUUUGAUAUGAUCGGGAAAUAUCUUUAAUUACUCACUUGUCCCAGCUGUAUUUGCGUUGGAGCAGGUUAAUAUUUACACAGGUUACAGUUUAGAUCGAAAUAUAAUUGCGUAGUUCAAAAUAGGUUUAAAAAAGACAAAAGAAACACUAAUUAAUUCUAUGUGUGAUGAGGAAGGCAAACGAGCGAAGAACCAUAGAAAAGCUUUAGUGAAAAAGAAAAGAUAACGAAAUUGGUGGCGAUCGAAGGUGGACAGCAAGAUCGAAGCUCAGCAAGAUUGAAGAUUGUUCGAGGAAGAAGGAGUUCGCCGUUGACUAAAAG
rnacentral:misc_RNA from 1 species